UUUUCAGCAAGAAGAAGAGUAGUAAAUCAGGAGGAUCCUACAUUUCCUUCGCGAACGAAAACCCAAUCAAGGAGGACAAUGAGUACGAAUCCAAACGAGAAGAAAGCGAAUUUGAAGGAAGCGAUUUAGAAGGCGGAUUCGACACCACCAUGGCUAACAUCGAUGAAGUUCCCAUGGGCGAAUGGAAGAAGAAGAAGAUGCGUGAAGACACCGGUCCAGGGAUCGUGCAACCCGCUAUUCCCGCAAACGCCAAUUUUGAACUCAGAGGCCACAUACUCACCCUACUUAAGGAGAUUCCAUUCUAUGGAAAAGAUCACGAAGACACGGGCAAGCACCUCCCAAUUCACUGGUUAUUCUGGUGGAAGAUGAAAUACCCCCGGAGUGGUUUAAUGUUGAAGGAAGACAAUAUCAAGAUGAUUUGGGAAGAGGCGUGAAUUUUGCCAACCAGUCCAUCAUCCAAAUGUUUAACCACUUCAACAUCCAACAUGUGGACAAGGGCCAAUUUCCUUAUAUACCAACUUAGGAGGAGAGGAUGAAUGCACACAGACGUGACGCUGGAGGACGUGGAGUUAGAGAGGAAGAUGCGGAAGAAGACACAGAAGAUGAAGAUUGAAUUUUUAUCCUUUUAGAUGUUUGGUUGUUUUAAGACAAAUUCUUUUUUUUUGCUUGGUAUGUUUAAACUUUUAUGUAGGAUUUGAAUUAUUUUGUUUGAUUUCAUAUUUUUUUUGGUUCUUUUCAGAAUUUGAGUUAGGGAAUGCUUGCAAGGGGUCUAGAGAAUGAGAGUAAAAUGAAGAGUCAAGUAUUGGUGAGAGAGGGUGAAGUAUUGAGUCUAAGUAUCGUGUCCGGUUAUAGAGAGGUUAAGGAGCGAAUAAUUACUGAAGAACAAAAGAAUAUAUUUUUGAAGUUUGGCAAGAGCUGGAUUUAUAACAGAAUCUUUUUUUGACACCCAACGAUGGUCUCGCCGAGUGCAUUUACCAAACUCGACGAGUUCCAGUAUGAUUUCAUGAUUUCUGUCUUUUCACGCUAGUACACAGCGAGUCACCUAUUGAACUCGAUGAGUCGUUCCAAAUUACACCUUUAGAGCUGCUAAUUUGAUGACAUUUUGUACACCACUUGACUGCAUUUUCUUUGAGAUCAAUUCCUGAAAAUUUACGAGAAUCUUUCUUGUAUAUUUAGAGCUAACCACACAAGAUUUGACACCCAAAACAUGGAUGAGUUGUUCCCAUGUUUAAAGUCAAUUGAAGAUUUAGCUAAAAUGAAGAAGAUCGACCUCGCCACUACUAUCCCAGGGGAGUUUGUUCCAAUUCCAUGUUAGUAUUGUGUUUGAUGAUUCUUUGAAGACCCAAAUGUUUAGUUGAGCCAAUAUACGUUAUAGUGCAUUUGUAGCCUCCUUUAUUCUACUGAAAUCAUGGGACAAAAACACAACCUCGCUUAGUUUGAGGGAUGCGAUAUGUUUAGCAUUGUGUACUUGAAAUGUAUCCAGGAAAAUUAUUAUUUUUAACCAAUAAGGGUUGAAGUUGAGCGCCCCUGCUUAAGCAUGUAAGGUUUUGAGUGGAAAAAAGUGAGUUACAUGUAAAAAAAAAGAGAANUUUUUUGACACCCAACGAUGGUCUCGCCGAGUGCAUUUACCAAACUCGACGAGUUCCAGUAUGAUUUCAUGAUUUCUGUCUUUUCACGCUAGUACACAGCGAGUCACCUAUUGAACUCGAUGAGUCGUUCCAAAUUACACCUUUAGAGCUGCUAAUUUGAUGACAUUUUGUACACCACUUGACUGCAUUUUCUUUGAGAUCAAUUCCUGAAAAUUUACGAGAAUCUUUCUUGUAUAUUUGGAGCUAACCACACAAGAUUUGACACCCAAAACAUGGAUGAGUUGUUCCCAUGUUUAAAGUCAAUUGAAGAUUUAGCUAAAAUGAAGAAGAUCGACCUCGCCACUACUAUCCCAGGGGAGUUUGUUCCAAUUCCAUGUUAGUAUUGUGUUUGAUGAUUCUUUGAAGACCCAAAUGUUUAGUUGAGCCAAUAUACGUUAUAGUGCAUUUGUAGCCUCCUUUAUUCUACUGAAAUCAUGGGACAAAAACACAACCUCGCUUAGUUUAGGGAUGCGAUAUGUUUAGCAUUGUGUACUUGAAAUGUAUCCAGGAAAAUUAUUAUUUUUAACCAAUAAGGGUUGAAGUUGAGCGCCCCUGCUUAAGCAUGUAAGGUUUUGAGUGGAAAAAAGUGAGUUACAUGUAAAAAAAAAGAGAGAAUUACAAGAAAAGUUGUAGAAUUUUGAAGCAAUCAAAGUGAAGAUCAAAAGAUCAAGAUUCUAAAGAAGAAAAAAAGUUGAAGAUACCGAAAAUCAAAAGGUGGUGAAUUCAAAGACAUCAAAGACAAAUUACCAAAGAAGUGAAGAAUUCCAAAAGUUGUAUGAGGGUAUCAAGAAUUGUAAUUUUCUAAUUAUGUAUGCUUGGGUUGCUCAACCAAAAAUACCUUGAGGUUAGGAGGUUUCCUGCGGACGGGUUCGGAGGGAUGCAUAAAAUGAGUAUUGUUCAAAAGAAGUGGGCGAGUGUUUAUGAGGAUUGUUAGUAUUUAGAAUUGAGGGGGAUCCUUAGGAAAAUUUUAGAAACAAAUGCAUGCGUUGCGGUCUUGGCAUAAUAGUUGGGUUCGAUUGGGAUUGUCUUAUGUGAUGCUAGUAUGUUUAAAAUUCAGUUUUGCUUGGGGGCAAGCAAAAGUCAACUGUGGGGUAUUUUGAUAUGUGCAUGUUUAGCCCUAUAUUUAGUAUAGAUUUUUAUCAUUUAUUAGCUAAUGAAUUGCAUAUUUUGGACAAAAGGUACUUAAUUAUGUUUGAAUUAUAUUUUCAGUCCAAAAGAAGUGCUUGGAAGCAAAAGGAAGCAGGAGCAGCUGUUGGGAAACUUUGGAUUGAACAAAAGAAGAAAGGACCAAAAACCACAAAGGACUCGGCAAGUCUGGCAUUCACUCGACGAGUUCCCACGACGAUUCGCGAAGCAGAAGAGUCCUUGCUUUGCCGUACACAGGGAUUUAACGAGGGACUCGACGAGUCGGUCUGGGACUCAACGAAUUGAGUUGAAUCUAUAAAAGGAGCCUUCCAGAUAGAUACAGAAAAAUUCAGAGAACCCUAGAGAGAGGAGCUGCGAUUCAGAAUGAAGAGAGGCAUCUGGAAGAGUGAAGAUCCAACCCAAUUCCAAUUGUGAAGGAUAACUAAGGCAUAAUUCCAUUUCUCUUAACUAGGUUUAGUACCUAAACCAUGUUUAUGUUAUUGAAUUUUGUUUUUGAGUUUUCUACAGCCUUAACCAUGAGCUAAACUUUUUAGCUUCUGUUUGGGUAAGACAAUUUUGAGACUAUGGUUUGAUUAAUGAUAGGAUUAACUUUAAAUUGGUGAUUUUGUUAAAUUAAGCUUGUUAAAGAUCCUUAUCCAUUAACAAUAACUAUUUUCUGGUAAUAGGAAGGCAAUUAGGCUGCAUGAACAUCUCUUAAUUGUUUACAUCAUAUGAUUUAUGUGAACACUUUGUUAUGUGCCUAGGAUUAGUGAAUAUGAAACUAGGAUUAAUUAGAGAAUGGGUAAGUUAAUGUGUGAGCUUGUUUGAUAAACCAACAACAAGAGGCUAAUUGAAUUAUUAAUUUGAUUAACCAUUACAAGUCUUAUUUAACCUAAAUAAAUAACCUAGAGAAUUAAUUAAUUUAGACAACUAGCCAAUGCUUGAAUUAGAUUAUUUUCUAAGGAUUAGCUAUAGCGAAUGUGAACCUAAUCACCUGAAUCGAUAGCCAAUAAAAGGUUAAUCAAUUGCACUAUUACCAUUAAAUCAUCCAUAAGAUCAAUUGAGUCGAACUUGAACAGAAUUCCCAUUUAGAUAUUGAAUUUAGUUUGUCUUUGCUUGCUUAGUUGUUAGUUAUUAAGUUUAACUGUUAGUAAGUUUCUAGUCUUGUAAAACUAGAGAAAAUCCCUCUUUUAUUAUUUGAUAUUUUUUUAGAUAAUUUUAGUAAUUACUUUAAUUUCCGUUCCUUGAGUUCGAUACCCUGCUUACUAGAUCUAUACCACCAAUUGACAACUCCACUGCCUUUUGUGUGAUUAAUUUACAAUUUAGAAGUAUGAAUAAAACUAGUUGGUUUAACACACAUCAAGUUUUAGGUGCCGUUGCCGGGGAACGGUUCUAAAUUUAAAUUAAUUACUAUUGUUAUCGAUCAUUUGUGUGAGAUUUCUCUUGCACAAAGUUACUGCUUUUAGUAGAAAUAGGAUUAGAAUUAAAUUUCAGUUUUUACCUUUUAGGAAGUUUGUUUACAGUUUUUGCUGUUUUUGCAUUGAACUCACCGAGUCCCUACGACUAGAGUCGACGAGUCUAUCGUUGAACAACUAUUUUCGUUUUUAGUUCUUUUUUUGUUCCUUUUACGCGUGUCUUUCUUUUUAUUUGCAGUACGUUUAUGACCAGAAGAGGAAGUACACCUUUGAUUCCACCACUUGAAGACCCAGAAGCUACUUUAAAGAAGAACAAAGGCAAAACCGUUGGAGAAUCCACAUCUUCAAAGAACUCACCUUAGAAGAAUAUCAUAUCUGUUUUCAGCAAGAAGAAGAGUAGUAAAUAAGGAGGAUCCAACAUUUCCUUCAUGAACGAAAACCCAAUCAAGGAGGACAUCGAGUACGAAUCCAAACGAGAAGAAAGCGAAUUUGAAGGAAGCGAUUUAGAAGGCGGAUUCGACACCACCAUGGCUAACAUCGAUGAAGUUCCCAUGGGCGAAUGGAAGAAGAAGAAGAUGCGUGAAGACAC
rnacentral:lncRNA from 1 species